rnacentral:tRNA from 1 species
ACGUUUAUAAUGUAAUGGUAGCAUUUGAGUCUCCAAAACUCAGGGUUAAGGUUCGAAUCCUUAUGAACGUGCGA